rnacentral:rRNA from 1 species
UACGUAGGGCGCAAGCGUUGUCCGGAAUUAUUGGGCGUAAAGAGCUCGUAGGCGGCCUGUUACGUCUGCUGUGAAAUCCCGGGGCUUAACCCCGGGCGUGCAGUGGAUACGGGCAGGCUGGAGGCAGGCAGGGGAGAACGGAAUUCCCGGUGUAGCGGUGAAAUGCGCAGAUAUCGGGAAGAACACCCGUGGCGAAGGCGGCACUCUGGGACGGUACUGACGCUGAGACGCGAAAGCGUGGGGAGCAAACAGG